rnacentral:lncRNA from 1 species
AAGCCAGUUGUACAGGAACUGCCAAAGGCAACAGAAAUUCUUUCUCCCUAUGUCCCAGCCUACCCCCACUUUACCGAGGCCAACAGCCGCCUCAGAAACCAGAUUCAGGAGCUAACAUGCCCCAGGUCUCACGAGGAUCAGAGACUCCAGAGGCCAGGGAAGGAGAUCAAGGUAGUCAAGCGGGGGUCGUCUCAGAUCUGGUUGUGCUCGAGCUAUGCAAAUGCCUCUCACGGAGAUGCGAGGACCUAUCUAUUAUGAUGACCAGGGCCACAUCCGGAGGGGGCAACAGACUUUCAUCUAUCAGCCCUUUUCAACCACUGAUCUACUAAACUGGAAACACUCUGAACCCUGCCAUCUUGCUCCUGGUAUCAGAGAGCCCUGUCGUGCAUAACUGUGUAGAAGUGUUGGACUCGGUUUACUCCAGCAGACCUGAUCUCCGGGACCAGCCUUGGGCAUCAGUAGACUGGAAGCUAUAUGUGGACAGGAGCAGCUUCAUCAACCCACAAGGAGAGAGAUGUGCGGGAUAUGUGGUGGAACCCUGGACACUGUCGUUGAAGCCAGAUCGUUGCUCCAAGGCACUUCAGCCCAGAAAGAUGAGCUCAUUGCUUUAAUUUGGGCCUUAGAACUCAGUUAAGGCCUUCUACGGUCCCAGGCUUUCUGCUGCAUACACUGAAGGGCCACGAAGUACAGUCAUCUGGACUUGGCACCUGGAAUACAAGGAUGGAAAGCAUCAUUUCUGCCAGCUUCUUAUGGUCCUGAGGCGAGACAGUCAUGAGAGAGGAAAACUGCAAUGACUUCUGACCACUGCCAGCCUCGCUUCCUGCAUUUUCUUCUUCGGCUUACUCUUGCCAAGUUGGAGUUGCCUAACUUCCAAGAGGGUAUUUGCUCUUUUUUUUUUCUCACUCCACAAACUCUUCCCAGGUAGUUCAGUCCACUCCCAUCUACCAGUCACUAUACGCCGAUGAAUGCCAAUAUUAUUAUUUCCAGCUUAGACAUUGUUCUUGGAUUGCAGAUGUGAGGUUUGACUUGUUUACUAGACAUUGCUGGCUGAGGAUCCCUAGCAUAACAUGGCCCAAAUUCAAUUUAUUUCCAAAGCUGUCUCAUCUCCUUUGUUCUCUGUAAUGAUGUUGCUAUCCAUUCGAUCAACAUACUCAGAAAUAUCACCCCCUCCUUCCUUCUUCCAAGAUAAGUGAGUUGCUCACGACAUGAUCAUGUUUUGGCAGUGUACUCUGUCCAUUCCCAUCACUUAGUAAGAAUCAUCUAGGUUAUGCUGAAGUAUGAAGUUAAUCUCCAAAUUUCUCUGGCUCAGUACAGAAAAAGUCCAUUUCUCCCUUCUGCAAUGCACCCAAUGCAGGUCUGCAGGGUCUCUGCUGUGCGUUGUCCCUCAGGGACUCAGGCUGAAGAGGCCCCCUUGUCUUAUCUGGCCACCUCCUCUGCACAUGGCUCAGGAUUUUCCAGGCAAGGGGUUGAGCAGAGGCUUUUCAGUGCUGGGCCUGGAUGUGACAUAAGAUGCUUCUGCUCACAGCCUUGUGGUCAGAACAAGUCACAUCAUCCCUCCUACUUGCAGGGGUGCUGGGCAGCGUAGUCAUCCACAGAUCAGGAGAGGGAGCAGAGGCAGGUGUUCCCGGGCUGCAGCGAUCUCCACUGCACUGCUGUGGGCUGAACUGUGCCCUCCACCCCACCAAGCUUAUAUGCUGCCAGCCUCACCCUCCACACCUUAGAAUGUGGCUGUAUCUCGACAUAGGGUCCUUACAGAGGUAGUUAAGUUAAAGCAGGGUCAUUAGGGUGGGCCCUAAGGUACUCUGACUGGUGUUUUUAUGAGAAGAGGAGAUUAGGACUUACAGGGAGAGACACUAGGUAUGUGAGCACACAGAGAAAAGACCAUGUGAAGACGAGAAGAAGGCAACUGUCUCCAAUCCAGACGGAGAUGCCAGGCACAGCCCUUCUGUCACAACCCUCAGAAGGAACCAACCCUGCCGACACCUUGGCCUUGUACUUCUGGCCUCCAGAACCGCAGGAAAGUACAUUUCUGUUGCUUAGGCCGCUCAGCCUGUGGCACUUUGUUACAGCUUCUCACCCAGUUCAGGCCCUUUUAAUUGAUUGCUGGGCCUUUGCAGUUGUUUUUGCUUCUAAUAUAUUCAUCUCUCAAUUUAUUUCUGGAGGCUGCCACCCGAGGGGCAGAACUUCAAUUGUGUCCCUAAUGGGAAACCUUGCUGGGAUCAUGUGGUCUACAGCACAAGGUUGCUAAAGCAUCUUCUGCCAGAAUUCUGUGAGUAUCUGGUUAGGUGGGUCUGGAAUAUACUGAGUUUAAAAAAGUUAAAUAGGUUUCUUUACUGCAAGAUGUUUCAGAGACUUUAAUAUGCUACUCUGCUGUAUGAAUCUCCAGGCAGGAAAUCUUAUAAAAUGUGUUUCUGAAAUG